CGUGUAGGCGGGUACUCAAGUCAGAUGUAAAAGGCGACGGCUCAACCGUAGUAUGUCAUCUGAAACUGGGUAUCUUGAGUUCGAGAGAGGGUGGUGGAAUUCCCGGUGUAGCGGUGAAAUGCGUAGAUAUCGGGAAGAACACCGGAAGCGAAGGCGGCCACCUGGCUCGUAACUGACGCUGAGGCGCGAAAGCGUGGGGAGCAAACA
rnacentral:rRNA from 1 species